GACGAACGCUGGCGGCGUGCCUAACACAUGCAAGUCGAGCGGAGUCGAUCGACGGAAGCCUUCGGGCGGAAGAUGGUUGACUUAGCGGCGGAUGGGUGAGUAACGCGUGGGCAACCUGCCUCGAAGACCGGGAUAACAGCCCGAAAGGGCUGCUAAUACCGGAUGUGGUCAAAGAUCCGCAUGGAUUUUUGAUUAAAGGGGAAACCCGUUUCGAGAUGGGCCCGCGUCCUAUCAGCUAGUUGGUGAGGUAAAAGCUCACCAAGGCGACGACGGGUAGCCGGCCUGAGAGGGUGACCGGCCACACUGGAACUGAGACACGGUCCAGACUCCUACGGGGGGCAGCAGUGGGGAAUCUUCCACAAUGGGCGAAAGCCUGAUGGAGCGACGCCGCGUGAGCGAAGAAGGCCUUGGGUUGUAAAGCUCUGUCUGGAGGGACGAAGGAAGUGACGGUACCUCCGGAGGAAGCCACGGCUAACUACGUG
rnacentral:rRNA from 1 species